rnacentral:rRNA from 1 species
AUUGAACGCUGGCGGCAGGCUUAACACAUGCAAGUCGAGCGAGCGGCGGACGGGUGAGUAAUGUCUGGGAAACUGCCUGAUGGAGGGGGAUAACUACUGGAAACGGUAGCUAAUACCGCAUACCAUCAGAGGUGCCCAGAUGGGAUUAGCUAGUAGGUGGGGUAACGGCGCACCUAGGCGACGAUCCCUAGCUAGCCUGAGAGGAUGACCGGCCACACUGGAACUGAGACACGGCCCAAACUCCUACGGGAGGCAGCAGUGGGGAAUAUUGCACAAUGGGCGCAAGCCUGAUGCAGCCAUGCCGCGUGAGUGAAGAAGGCCUUCGGAUUGUAAAGCACUUUCAGCGAGGAGGCGUUACUCGCAGAAGAAGCAACGGCUAACUCCGUGCCAGCAGCCGCGGUAAUUC